CGUAACGCGUGGGAAUCUCGCCCGUUGGGUUCGGAAUAACUCAAGAGUAAAUUUGAGCUAAUACCGGAUGAUGACGAAAGUCCAAAGUAUUUAUCGCCCAGGGAUGAGCCCGCGUAAGAUUAGCUUGUUGGUGGGGUAAUGGCCUACCAAGGCGACGAUCUUUAGCUGGUCUGAGAGGAUGAUCAGCCACACUGGGACUGAGACACGGCCCAGACUCCUACGGGAGGCAGCAGUGGGGAAUAUUGGACAAUAGGCGCAAGCCUGAUCCAGCAAUGCCGCGUGAGUGAUGAAGGCCUUAGGGUUGUAAAGCUCUUUACCAGGGAUGAUAAUGGCAGUACCUGGAGAAUAAGCUCCGGCUAACUCCGUG
rnacentral:rRNA from 1 species